rnacentral:rRNA from 1 species
GACGAACGCUGGCGGCGUGCUUAACACAUGCAAGUCGAACGGAAAGGCCUGCUUUCCCUUGUGGAUUGCGGGUACUCGAGUGGCGAACGGGUGAGUAACACGUGAGUGAUCUGCCCCCAACUUGGGUAUAAGCCUGGGAAACUGGGUCUAAUUCCCGAUAGGACUGCAGGGUGGUGCCUGUGGUGGAAAACGAUUUUCUAGUGGUUGGGGAUGAGCUCGCGGCCUAUCAGCUUGUUGGUGGGGUAAUGGCCUACCAAGGCGGCGACGGGUAGCCGGCCUGAGAGGGUGGACGGCCACAUUGGGACUGAGAUACGGCCCAGACUCCUACGGGAGGCAGCAGUGGGGAAUAUUGCACAAUGGGCGGAAGCCUGAUGCAGCGACGCCGCGUGGGGGAUGACGGCCUUCGGGUUUAAACUCCUUUCGACCGCGAGGAAGCCACCUGGUUGGAAUGGUGGUGACGGUAGUGGUAGAAGAAGCACCGGCUAACUACGUG